rnacentral:rRNA from 1 species
UACAGAGGGGGCAAGCGUUGUUCGGAAUCACUGGGCGUAAAGCGCACGUAGGCGGCUUCUUAAGUCAGGGGUGAAAUCCUGGAGCUCAACUCCAGAACUGCCUUUGAUACUGAGAAGCUUGAGUCCGGGAGAGGUGAGUGGAACUGCGAGUGUAGAGGUGAAAUUCGUAGAUAUUCGCAAGAACACCAGUGGCGAAGGCGGCUCACUGGCCCGGUACUGACGCUGAGGCACGAAAGCGUGGGGAGCAAACAGG